GUAGCUAAGACAGAGACAAAAAUUAGGGUUUAUUUUGGAUAUGAUAUACUAUAAUCUUUUUUUAAAAACGCACAUGUGUGUGUCUGAGUGUAUAUCUGUAUAUCAUUUGUGUGCAAGAGCCCUUGGGAGUCAGAAAAGGUGCUAGAUCCUUGGAAUUUCAGGAAUCUACCAUGUGGGUGGGGUGCUGGGAUUGCACAUAGGCCCUCUGUAAGAGCAGUAAGUGCUCUUACAGACGACCGUCUCUCAGCCCCACAGAAAUGACACUACAAUCUUUACCUAUGGAGUUCCUGAGUGAACAGAGCCUGGAAGGCUGUUUUGGUUUUAUGCAACCUAAGCAGCGUAAGAUGAGAAGUGUGCAUGAGGGGCUCAGAGAUAAAGCCUUGCUGCCUUUUCAGAGGACCCAAGCUGAGCACUCAGUACCCUCACUGCAUGCACGUACCAGCUGCAGGUGUCCAACACCUACUUCUGGUCUCCACAGUCUCUACACACCUGUGGCACAUAUAUGUAUGACAAAUGCACAUAGAUACAUAAGUAAAUUGAGAAUAAAUCUUCAACAGAAAAGAAAAA
rnacentral:lncRNA from 1 species